CUCAGCAUCAUCAGCAUCCAGUGACGACGUCCAUGAGGAGAUGAAGGUGAGCCAGCCUUUCUGAUCAAAGCACCCGUCUAUAAAGCUCAAGGCUGGCCUUCCUCGGUGGUGAAAACUACUACUACAAAGCCAGCAGGGAAGAUGAGGGAGAAGAUGCGGGCCGAUACCAAACUACUGCAUCAACAAGAAAAACUUUACAAUGGCAGCUUGGAUGAGAUCCUCGGACCAAGAUAGGCAACAGAGAAAACCUGCACUAGCAUCGAGAAGCACAUUCCUGGAGUUGUGUUACUUUGAGCAUAACUGUCUG